UACAGAGGGGGCAAGCGUUGUUCGGAAUUACUGGGCGUAAAGGGCGCGUAGGCGGCCUGCUAAGUCGAACGUGAAAUCCCUGGGCUCAACCCAGGAACUGCGUCCGAUACUGGUUGGCUUGAAUCCGGGAGAGGGAUGUGGAAUUCCAGGUGUAGCGGUGAAAUGCGUAGAUAUCUGGAGGAACACCGGUGGCGAAGGCGACAUCCUGGACCGGCAUUGACGCUGAGGCGCGAAAGCCAGGGGAGCAAACGGGAUUAGAUACCCCGUAGU
rnacentral:rRNA from 1 species